AUGAACGCUGGCGGCGUGCCUAAUACAUGCAAGUCGAGCGAACAGAUGAGGAGCUUGCUCCUCUGACGUUAGCGGCGGACGGGUGAGUAACACGUGGAUAACCUACCUAUAAGACUGGGAUAACUUCGGGAAACCGGAGCUAAUACCGGAUAAUAUAUUGAACCGCAUGGUUCAAUAGUGAAAGACGGUUUUGCUGUCACUUAUAGAUGGAUCCGCGCCGCAUUAGCUAGUUGGUAAGGUAACGGCUUACCAAGGCAACGAUGCGUAGCCGACCUGAGAGGGUGAUCGGCCACACGGGAACUGAGACACGGUCCAGACUCCUACGGGAGGCAGCAGUAGGGAAUCUUCCGCAAUGGGCGAAAGCCUGACGGAGCAACGCCGCGUGAGUGAUGAAGGUCUUCGGAUCGUAAAACUCUGUUAUUAGGGAAGAACAAAUGUGUAAGUAACUAUGCACGUCUUGACGGUACCUAAUCAGAAAGCCACGGCUAACUACGUG
rnacentral:rRNA from 1 species